CCUACGCGUGGCAGCAGUAGGGAAUAUUGCUCAAUGGCGGAAACCCUGAAGCAGCAACGCCGCGUGGAGGAUGAAGGUUUUAGGAUUGUAAACUCCUUUUGUUAGAGAAGAUUAUGACGGUAUCUAACGAAUAAGCACCGGCUAACUCCGUGCCAGCAGCCGCGGUAGUACGGAGGAUGCGAGCGUUAUAUGGAUUUAUUGGGUUUAAAGGGUGCGCAGGCGGAAGAUGAAGUCAGCGGAAAAAUUGAGGGGCUCAACCUCGUCGAGCCGUUGACACUGGUUUUCUUGAGUGAGUGAGGAGUAUGAGGAAUGCGUGGUGUAGCGGUGAGGUGCAUAGAUUACACGCAGAACUACGAUUGCGAAGACAGCAUACCGACGCUCAACGGACGCUCAUGCACGAAAGUGUGGGUAUCGAACAGGAUUAGAUACCCGGGUAGGC
rnacentral:rRNA from 1 species